CCAUAGGUUAAUGAGGCGAACCGGGGGAACUGAAACAUCUAAGUACCCCGAGGAAAAGAAAUCAACCGAGAUUCCCCCAGUAGCGGCGAGCGAACGGGGAGGAGCCCAGAGCCUGAAUCAGCAUGUGUGUUAGUGGAAGCGUCUGGAAAGGCGCGCGAUACAGGGUGACAGCCCCGUACACAAAAGCGCAUGUGCUGUGAGCUCGAUGAGUAGGGCGGGACACGUGGUAUCCUGUCUGAAUAUGGGGGGACCAUCCUCCAAGGCUAAAUACUCCUGACUGACCGAUAGUGAACCAGUACCGUGAGGGAAAGGCGAAAAGAACCCCGGCGAGGGGAGUGAAAAAGAACCUGAAACCGUGUACGUACAAGCAGUGGGAGCACAGGUUUACCUGUGUGACUGCGUACCUUUUGUAUAAUGGGUCAGCGACUUAUAUUCUGUAGCAAGGUUAACCGAAUAGGGGAGCCGGAGGGAAACCGAGUCUUAAUUGGGCGUUAAGUUGCAGGGUAUAGACCCGAAACCCGGUGAUCUAGCCAUGGGCAGGUUGAAGGUUGGGUAACACUAACUGGAGGACCGAACCGACUAAUGUUGAAAAAUUAGCGGAUGACCUGUGGCUGGGGGUGAAAGGCCAAUCAAACCGGGAGAUAGCUGGUUCUCCCCGAAAGCUAUUUAGGUAGCGCCUCGUGAA
rnacentral:rRNA from 1 species